CAAAGGAACGCGGCCCUGGCUAGGAGGCCCUGGCUCCUAGCCGGAGAGAGCAAGCUCAACCUGCCGGCGCUCAGGUGCCCCUCGCCAGCAGCGGCUGCAGCCACCACGUUGCCAUGACAACCAUACCUGGCAGCUCUGCUCUGGGAAGGCUGUGCCGUUCUGGACAAGGAGGGGGAGGGAAAAGAAAUGUGAGUUCAUUUCCUGAGUCUUUUAAACAUUUCUUUGCAGACAGAGCACUGAGAAGCUGUGGCCAGAGGGCAGAGCAGUCGUAGGUAUGCAGCACUCACGGAGGGAAGGUCAGAACUCAUCCCCCACGUGGGCUCUUUCCAGGCCACAGCAGGACGCUGGAUUUAGCAAUGAGACAGCGCUCAAGGAUCUGGAUGCACAUCAAUUCUCCACCUCCCUCCCAAGAAAAUGGUUUUAAGGCCGGUUGUUUUUGGAAUGGGUUUUUCCCUGUUUGUCCAGGCAAGGUUGGACUGUUAAACCAGUUUAUCCUAAAGAGGGCAGAACAUGGACCUGGGGCCCAAGUACUAGGGACACAUGAGAGUUAUGGGAGCAGCCAACACUUGUCAAAGUGCUUUUCCACAUUCAUUAUUUUACCACAUCCAUUAUUUUACUUCUCACAGCAACCCCACGAAGCGAAUGGCAGCAUGCCCAUUCCACAGAACAACAGUCCCAGUUCUGGUUCUGCCUCAUGAAGAUGGCACCUGGCCUCCCAGCUUAGAAGACUGGCCACUGACAAAAGUCUCUGUGACCCCCGCUGUGGCUUCCUCUGCUCUCCUCUGAGACCCAAGGCGGCUUCCAUGGACAGUCGGAACGAGGAAAGUAAAGCAGACAGAAGCACACAGGGGAGAUGGGACUGGAAAGAGGACCCCCUCUACCCCCGCCACGAGCCCCCCACUCCCACCUGCCUUGCCACACUGCAGGCUGAUUCUGCUCUGAUGGGCUUGCUGGUGUCUGCCUUUGAACUUGGUUUUAAACACAAGCAUGUGAGGGCACCUGGGUGGCUUGGUGGUUGAGCAUCUGCCUUUGGCUCAGGUCGUGAUCCCUGAGUAUUGGGAUCGAGUCCCACAUCAGGCUCCCUGCGGGGAGCCUGCUUCUCCAUCUGCCUAUGUC